GGUUGGACUAUAAUUCAACAAACCAAGGAUAUGACAUAUCAUGUGUCACCCAUAAGCCAAUGGAUGAAAAAGUUUUCUCAAGGUGCAGUUGAGAGUCAAAUGACUCAUCCAACUCAAUUCAACGGCCUCCUAAGAAAGAAGACGCUGUUCAGUCUUGUAAUUUGUAUUAUGUGGCUUCCACAGAUUGAGUCUACGGAGAAUUUGUAAUCUCCAUCUACUGAAUAGCCACUUGAAUAAGCAUCUGCUGUCCUGAUUUUGUGAGCUCUGCAAGAAAAUUCUCAAACAGGAGUGUGCUGCUUGCAAGCAUCAAGACAGAUGAAAUUCAUUGUUUCUGGUGGUAAAUGCACAAUAGGCUGGAUUUUGUACAUCAUGAAGUAUGUGGUAUUUGCUCAGCAGACAUUCACACUUUUAUGUCUCCUCCGUCUACGACUGGUUGGUCAGUAUUCACUUCAGCAUGGUCCUAGCAGUGUACAAAGAGUGAACUAGGACAGGUCAGUAGGUUUUCACCUGUCAGUGUCACCUCAAAUUUAUUUUAAACCUUUAGAAAAUAAACCAAGAACCUUUUGUUCUUGUAUUCUCUUUUUAAACAUGGCCUGGUGCAUGUAGGCAAUUGGGAAUUGCACUAUACAUUGGAAACCUUCAUGAUACAUAAAGCGAGUUAACUACAACUACAAUAGGUGUUCAUCUGUUAGGACCAAGUGUCAGCUUUACAGGAAAGACACAGAUGGGGUGAAUUAAAAAAUGUUUCCCCAACUUCAGCAUAAUUCAAAUGGACACACUCCAUCCCUGACAAGCAUUGUUUUAAUUGUCUUGCAACAAUUCCCCUGAUGUUGGGAGUGAAUGAGUGCUUUAUUUUCCCUGUAUUGAUUCUGCAUAAGCUUAUUAUUUGCCCAGUCAUUUCUCUUCUUCCAUAUAUUUGAUUUUUUCCCUAUUUAAUAAAACUGUUAAAGCCUCUUGUAA